UACGCAGGGGGCGAGCGUUGUCCGGAAUUAUUGGGCGUAAAGAGCGCGCAGGUGGUUGAUUAAGUCUGAUGUGAAAGCCCACGGCUUAACCGUGGAGGGUCAUUGGAAACUGGUCGACUUGAGUGCAGAAGAGGGAAGUGGAAUUCCAUGUGUAGCGGUGAAAUGCGUAGAGAUAUGGAGGAACACCAGUGGCGAAGGCGGCUUCCUGGUCUGUAACUGACACUGAGGCGCGUAAGCGUGGGGAGCAAACAGGAUUAGAUA
rnacentral:rRNA from 1 species